UUAUACAUCAGGUAGUUAUAGUGCUGUUAUACAGUCAGGGUAGUUAUAGUGCUGUUAUACAGUCAGGGUAGUUAUAAUGUUAUAGUGCUGUUAUACAGUCAGGGUAGUUAUAGUGCUGUUAUACAGUCAGGGUAGUUAUAAUGUUAUAGUGCUGUUAUACAGUCAGGGUAGUUAUAAUGUUUAUAGUGCUAUUAUACACUCAGGGUAGUUAUAGUGCUGUUAUACAGUCAGGGUAGUUAUA
rnacentral:lncRNA from 1 species